rnacentral:rRNA from 1 species
GAUGAACGCUGGCGGCGUGCCUAAUACAUGCAAGUCGAGCGAACAGACGAGGAGCUUGCUCCUCGGACGUUAGCGGCGGACGGGUGAGUAACACGUGGAUAACCUACCUAUAAGACUGGGAUAACUUCGGGAAACCGGCGCUAAUACCGGAUAAUAUAUUGAACCGCAUGGUUCAAUAGUGAAAGUCGGUUUUGCUGUCUCUUAUAGAUGGAUCCGCGCCGCAUUAGCUAGUUGGUAAGGUAACGGCUUACCAAGGCAACGAGGCGUAGCCGACCUGAGAGGCGGAUAGGCGACACUGGAAGUGGACCACGGUCCAGAGGCCUAAGGGAGGCCGCAGAAGGGAAUCUGCCGCAAUGGGCGAGAACCUGGCGGAACAACGCGGCGCGUGAGAUAGAGAUGUUCGGAUCGGGAAACUCGGUUAUUAGGGAAAAACCACUGUGGAAUUAGAUAUGCACGUCUUGACGGUACCUAAUAAGAAAGCCCCGGCUAACUACGUG